GAGUGAAAAGAAGAAGCGUAAAGUGCUCUCAAUGGAAACAAAGAGAGAAAUUAUUGAAAAUAUGAGCGAGGUCCUCCUCCACCAAGAACUUCGUCUUCAGCCAGCAUCGCCUCACUCAAAAUGCGAUGGAAAAAGGUGCUUCGACUUACGAAAAUUUUGACUUACGAAAGACCCUCUGGAACGAAUUUAUUCCAUAAGUUGGGGUUCCACUGUACAGAGUCUCGUCUGUCUCUAUCAGUAAUUAUAAUACAAAACAUACGACACACAUGUGUACAAAGAAGUGUCCAGGUUCAUCCUGACCAUCAACCUUUCUGGCUGAAGGUCAUUUCUGCCAGCAGGACUUUCAUCAGCACCACAACACUUAAUGCUAAACACAACCUUACAAAACUCAGUUCACAACUACGCAUUCUGAUCUACAAAAUAUCAGUCAUGGUCUGAGACGACAGAGAGCUGCUCAGAGAGUUCAGAGUGAGCUGAAGGAUGAAGGUCAGACCAAACAUUCACGUUCAAGCUCGUUACAACUGUAAAGACUUGAUUUUUGCCUCGUAUUCUGUAUUUUUAAUGAAUAUUUGCACGUUUCAGUGAAUCGCUGCACCCGUUUCCAAUUCUCCUGCAAAAUGUAAAGAAACGAGGGCUCAAGACUUUUGCACAGUGCCGUCUAUAUUAAAGUAAAGCUGGAUUCAUUCUCAUUUAAACACAGUGAAGGUGUUGCUGGUCCAUCAGGUAAUAAAUCACAGAGCUUACAGUGAUCACAUGGUUUCAGACUCCAUCACCUCCCAAUCAAGGGUUCAUACGCCUUUUUCUGGCUCCAAUUCAAGCACUUUUUAAGCACUUUCAAGGUCCAUGUUCAAGCUUUCCCAGCACAUGGCCGAAAAAAACAAACAGAAAGCAUGUUUCACUUUGCAUCACCUCACUAAGACCAUGUGAAAAUGAAAACGAAUCAUCUUAGGUUGACUUAAAAAGCCUUUCUUCCCCACAAAACAGGAAAACUGCACCAAACAUCACAUAUUUCAUGCACCCGUAUGAACCCUGUUUACAGAUAAAUACAGAUUCAAUGAAACUGCACAUUAAUCCCAUAAACAUGAAGCUCUGACCUCCUACGUGACUGAAGGUUG
ensembl:lncRNA